rnacentral:lncRNA from 7 species
AGCGUUGCUUGAUAUUUGCUUUAGGCUGGAUUCUGUUCUGAGUUGUGCUCAUUUCUCCCCUACCUCUGGAGAUUCCAUUUUAUUUUGCAGCUUUAGUUCUUAUUUGAUUCCAGCCUUGUCUUUGGAAUACUAGUUUUACGUGCUGUAGUCUCUCCUGCAAAAAUGGCCUAUUUUCUUAUUGAACAAUUUAAGGAAAUCCGGUAAGAUGUUUUUACCUGAAGACUGCAUUCUCAUAAAGGGCAACAUGCAAUUCACCCGUAAUGGUUUGGUGGCAUUUUUGGACCACUCACAUCUUCUCACUGCAAUUUUCAGGUAUUGAACCAGUGAAGAGGCUGAAAACGUAACUCUAGAAGAACAUCUGAAAGCUGAGAAAAGUGUAUAUGUGAAGUCAGAGAUUGCUCCUUUUCUUAUAUAUUUAGGUACUAUAAAAUGGAGCCCACUGACCUCUGAGACAUAUAAGGGAGGAUUCAGUACUAACAGUGACUGAUUCUAUAGCUUUGAAUUUUAACAGGAGCAUCCAGUUCCAAGUGCUUAACAGGAUUGGAAAUCCCAAAGUCUGUUUUCAUCUCUAUGCAAGUGUGAAAUAUGUUGUUUGAUGCACUCUUGAGAUCAAGCAUAGAUCAAGCACCAAAAAUACAGAUUCCUCCACAUUUUCUGUUGUUACAAGUUGUUCAAUUACAAAUAACGUCAUGGUGAAGAAAUGGUGUACUUACACGUUGAGAAACAGUUCUGGAGCACUGACCCAAUCUCCUCCCUAAAUCGUUGUCUGAUUCUAUUUGCUUUUGGUUAUUUCCUUUUCCCCUCCCCACACACUGCAUCCAACUUACUACUAGUGAGUUGCUGCAUUACCUCCUAUCCAAUUGUGUAAUUCUGCCUUCAGCAUGAAGAGACAUGGAGGAAAUGUGUGCAGCCUCCUCUCUCCUACCAUGUGUGCCUGCUGGACUGGGAGGAGUCAGAUCACUUUUGGGGGCAUUGUAUUCCCUCCACUUAAUAGACCACCUCCUCUGCCUGGUAUUCUUUCCUCACUUGGUGCAGCAAUAAAAUAGGAAUUACACAAGCCUGGCUCAAGGCUAUUCAGACAUCUACUUCCACAUCAAAGCAGUUAAAAAGCUUUUUUCUUAUAUUCUCCAGUACAAAAUAUUUCAACAGCAAGUCUUUUAAAAUUCUCUUUUUUAAUGGAAAAGAAAACCUUAAUAAACAAAAAUCCACACUGUAAAAAAUCCCACGAUGUUUCGAGUGUAAAAAAUAUCGAAGAAUACUUGUCAAUCAAAUGCACUGUAACAUUUUACCUAGAAGAAAAGCCACGCUAAAGGAUUUAAAAGAAUCUAAAUGUGAAAUGAAUAACAAUUCCCAGUUUAAUGCCACAGCCGCGCAGAGUAAACACAAUUUUGUCAGCAGAAAAGUUCUCAUCCCCUGAUUUGUAGUCAUAAAAAGGCAAAUACACCCAUCAGCUUGAUGACCUGUUGAAGCCUCAGAAACCUUUCCUUGAUUCGAUGGUUCAUUUGCCUACUGCUCAAGAAGAAGCUAAUUCUCAAUGUAUCGCCUAUUUCCUUCACAAGUUUCCAAGUUUUCCUAUUUUCUAUUGCCAUUAUAUUGUGAAGGCUCAAUGGUGAAAAAAAAUAUUCUUGUUUGAAGAAGGUAUGUCAUGUACCAUCUUGAGCAAAAGAAAAGAGAAAAUUCACUGUUUUUGUUGGAUACACGCCUCUUUCACAAGCAGCCCAGUGAUUU